AGCCUACCCAUUUAGUCCCAGCUGUGGCAGCAGACUCCAGGGCAGCCAACAGUUCUGACCUUGGCCUGCUUUGUUGCAUGGACGCUCCUGUUUCACUCCACUUUGGCUGCUAAAUCUCGCCUUAAGGAGGCUGCUCAGCACUGGGGACUAAUCUGUGCACCAGAAGACAAAAGAGGGUGACUAAUGAAGUUUUUUGUGCUUAGAAAGAGAAUUGGGAAGAAAGGGAACAAGCAGUUAUUUUCAAAUAGAAUAAUCUCCACCCAAGCAAAACUGAGCAAACUCUUCUUCAUAAAUGAUGUGACGAAUCUAGUCCUGCCACCGGAUCAUUUGUCUUAGAGAUUCUGUGGACACCAGGGAUUUUGCUAUACAGAUCCUGCUUGAGAAAGAUGACCCAACAGCAGAAAUAGAUGUAACACAAGACAAAGAUGAUCCUAAGGUAGCAUCCAACAGAGCAUGCCUUUGUGGCCAUCUGGGAGAGAUACUACAUCACAAACAGGGUGGGGGAACACAACUUUUUGCAAAAGAGACUCUGUAUUUCUGCUGUGGAACAAUGACCAGCCUGGCGCAGGGACCUCCUGGAGAACCGUGCUUACUGGAGCCUGGCAGGCUUUCUGUUCAGUCACCGAACCUUGGGAAAAGUGGUCAUGGAAGGGCCCAACUAUCUCCCUUGCUUAUUUUCCAUGUUAAAUGUAGGUACAGAAACUUUCCCUCCAUGCCCUCCUGUUAUUCCUGAGUUUCAUUCAUGUAGGUAGGUAGUUUCUCAGUAUAGCCUGUGCUAAUUAUGUUCUUUGCCCCUUGGAGUUAAUCAGCACUGAGGGCCUUGAGGGUCAUUCCUGUUAGGACCAAAAACUGAUGAUGCAAGUCAGGUCUCUGACGUAAUCCUAUUCAUUUCCAAAGAAUGGCCCCCUGGCCUGGUGCCCCUGGCUGCUGCAGAAGCAAGCAGCAAACAGUCUCCCUAUUCCCUUUUCUUCUCAGGGUCAUGCUCACAUAUGGCAGUUUGAAGUAAGCAAGCUUCCUGGCCCCCGUGUUAGCGAUCAGAGACUCAUUCGAUCACGCAGCUCAGUUCUGCUCCGGUCUUGCAGCGC